rnacentral:rRNA from 1 species
UACGUAGGGUGCGAGCGUUAAUCGGAAUUACUGGGCGUAAAGCGUGCGCAGGCGGUUUUGCAAGCCGGAUGUGAAAUCCCCGGGCUCAACCUGGGAAUGGCAUUUGGGACUGCAAGGCUCGAGUGCGGCAGAGGAGACUGGAAUUCCUGGUGUAGCAGUGAAAUGCGUAGAUAUCAGGAGGAAUACCGAUGGCGAAGGCAGGUCUCUGGGACUGACACUGACGCUCAUGCACGAAAGCGUGGGGAGCAAACGAGG